UUGGGCUUCAGCCUUGAUACGAGCAGCACGAUCUUCAAGAUUAGACGAAGCUGAUGGUGAUUCAGAAGUAGCUUUAACCUCGGGAGUGUGCGUAUUUGAUUCAAUGGGCUUCGAUUGUUGAACUGUGGAAACAGAGGGAGGGUUCAAAGUUUGAGGUGCUGCUGGGGCAGGUACAGGCAGCUCUUUGACAACACGCGUGACAGAUUCAUCAACAAC